rnacentral:rRNA from 1 species
GACAGAGGGUGCAAGCGUUGUUCGGAAUUAUUGGGCGUAAAGGGCGCGUAGGCGGCCUCGCAAGUCAGAUGUGAAAUCCCAGGGCUUAACCCUGGAACUGCAUCUGAUACUGCUUGGCUUGAAUCUCGGAGAGGGUGGUGGAAUUCCUGGUGUAGAGGUGAAAUUCGUAGAUAUCAGGAGGAACACCGGUGGCGAAGGCGACCACCUGGACGAUGAUUGACGCUGAGGCGCGAAAGCGUGGAAAGCAAACAGG